rnacentral:rRNA from 1 species
CCUACGGGAGGCAGCAGUGGGGAAUAUUGCACAAUGGGCGCGAGCCUGAUGCAGCGACGCCGCGUGAGGGAUGACGGCCUUCGGGUUGUAAACCUCUUUCAGUAGGGAAGAAGCGAAAGUGACGGUACCUGCAGAAGAAGCGCCGGCUAACUACGUGCCAGCAGCCGCGGUAAUACGUAGGGCGCAAGCGUUAUCCGGAAUUAUUGGGCGUAAAGAGCUCGUAGGCGGUUUGUCGCGUCUGCCGUGAAAGUCCGGGGCUCAACUCCGGAUCUGCGGUGGGUACGGGCAGACUAGAGUGAUGUAGGGGAGACUGGAAUUCCUGGUGUAGCGGUGAAAUGCGCAGAUAUCAGGAGGAACACCGAUGGCGAAGGCAGGUCUCUGGGCAUUAACUGACGCUGAGGAGCGAAAGCAUGGGGAGCGAACAGGAUUAGAUACCCUGGUAGUCCAUGCCGUAAACGUUGGGCACUAGGUGUGGGGGACAUUCCACGUUUUCCGCGCCGUAGCUAACGCAUUAAGUGCCCCGCCUGGGGAGUACGGCCGCAAGGCAAAACUCAAGGAAUUGACGGCUGAGACGNGCGAGCGACGACGAGGGAGAG